rnacentral:rRNA from 1 species
AGAGUUUGAUCCUGGCUCAGAGUGAACGCUGGCGGCAGGCCUAAUACAUGCAAGUCGAUCGGCAGCACAGCAGAGCUUGCUCUGUGGGUGGCGAGUGGCGGACGGGUGAGGAAUACGUGGGAAUCUGCCCAGUCGUGGGGGAUAACGUAGGGAAACUUACGCUAAUACCGCAUGCGCCCUUCGGGGGAAAGCCGGGGACCUUCGGGCCUGGCGCGAUUGGAUGAGCCCACGUCGGAUUAGCUAGUUGGCGGGUAAAGGCCCACCAAGGCGACGAUCCGUAGCUGGUCUGAGAGGAUGAUCAGCCACACUGGAACUGAGACACGGUCCAGACUCCUACGGGAGGCAGCAGUAGGGAAUAUUGGACAAUGGGCGCAAGCCUGAUCCAGCCAUGCCGCGUGAGUGAAGAAGGCCCUCGGGUUGUAAAGCUCUUUUGUCCGGAAAGAAAAGCGCCGGGUUAAUACCCUGGUGUCCUGACGGUACCGGAAGAAUAAGCACCGGCUAACUUCGUG